rnacentral:rRNA from 1 species
UACGUAGGCAGCGAGCGUUGUUCGGAAUUACUGGGCGUAAAGAGUGUGUAGGCGGUGCUCUAAGUUUGGUGUGAAAUCUCCCGGCUCAACUGGGAGGGUGCAUCGAAAACUGGAAUGCUAGAGGGUGGGAGAGGUAAGCGGAAUUCCUGGUGUAGCGGUGAAAUGCGUAGAUAUCAGGAGGAACACCUGUGGUGUAGACAGCUUACUGGACCACUUCUGACGCUGAGACACGAAAGCGUGGGUAGCAAACAGG